UACGUAGGGAGCGAGCGUUGUCCGGAAUUACUGGGUGUAAAGGGAGCGUAGGCGGGACUGCAAGUCAGAUGUGAAAUUUAUGGGCUUAACCCAUAACGUGCAUUUGAAACUGUGGUUCUUGAGUGAAGUAGAGGUAAGCGGAAUUCCUAGUGUAGCGGUGAAAUGCGUAGAUAUUAGGAGGAACAUCAGUGGCGAAGGCGGCUUACUGGGCUUUAACUGACGCUGAGGCUCGAAAGCGUGGGGAGCAA
rnacentral:rRNA from 1 species